rnacentral:sRNA from 1 species
GUCAGCUGCAUCUUCUUUUGCAUUGCCAGCCGAGCCACAUCGCUGAGACACCAUGGGGAAGGUGAAGGUCGGAGUCAACGGAUUUGGUCGUAUUGGGCGCCUGGUCACCAGGGCUGCUUUUAACUCUGGUAAAGUGGAUAUUGUUGCCAUCAAUGACCCCUUCAUUGACCUCAACUACAUGGUUUACAUGUUCCAAUAUGAUUCCACCCAUGGCAAAUUCCAUGGCACCGUCAAGGCUGAGAACGGGAAGCUUGUCAUCAAUGGAAAUCCCAUCACCAUCUUCCAGGAGUGAGUGGAAGACAGAAUGGAAGAAAUGUGUUUUGGGGAGGCAACUAGGAUGGUGUGGCUCCCUUGGGUAUAUGGUAACCUUGUGUCCCUCAAUAUGGUCCUGUCCCCAUCUCCCCCCCACCCCCAUAGGCGAGAUCCCUCCAAAAUCAAGUGGGGCGAUGCUGGCGCUGAGUACGUCGUGGAGUCCACUGGCGUCUUCACCACCAUGGAGAAGGCUGGGGCUCAUUUGCAGGGGGGAGCCAAAAGGGUCAUCAUCUCUGCCCCCUCUGCUGACGCCCCCAUGUUCGUCAUGGGUGUGAACCAUGAGAAGUAUGACAACAGCCUCAAGAUCAUCAGCAAUGCCUCCUGCACCACCAACUGCUUAGCACCCCUGGCCAAGGUCAUCCAUGACAACUUCGGUAUCGUGGAAGGACUCAUGACCACGGUCCAUGCCAUCACUGCCACCCAGAAGACUGUGGAUGGCCCCUCCGGGAAACUGUGGCGUGAUGGCCGCGGGGCUCUCCAGAACAUCAUCCCUGCCUCUACUGGCGCUGCCAAGGCUGUGGGCAAGGUCAUCCCUGAGCUGAACGGGAAGCUCACUGGCAUGGCCUUCCGUGUCCCCACUGCCAACGUGUCAGUGGUGGACCUGACCUGCCGUCUAGAAAAACCUGCCAAAUAUGAUGACAUCAAGAAGGUGGUGAAGCAGGCGUCGGAGGGCCCCCUCAAGGGCAUCCUGGGCUACACUGAGCACCAGGUGGUCUCCUCUGACUUCAACAGCGACACCCACUCCUCCACCUUCGACGCUGGGGCUGGCAUUGCCCUCAACGACCACUUUGUCAAGCUCAUUUCCUGGUAUGACAACGAAUUUGGCUACAGCAACAGGGUGGUGGACCUCAUGGCCCACAUGGCCUCCAAGGAGUAAGACCCCUGGACCACCAGCCCCAGCAAGAGCACAAGAGGAAGAGAGAGACCCUCACUGCUGGGGAGUCCCUGCCACACUCAGUCCCCCACCACACUGAAUCUCCCCUCCUCACAGUUUCCAUGUAGACUCCUUGAAGAGGGGAGG